rnacentral:rRNA from 1 species
CAGCCGCCACGGUAAUACGGAGGGUGCAAGCGUUAAUCGGAAUUACUGGGCGUAAAGCGCACGCAGGCGGUCUGACAAGUCAGAUGUGAAAUCCCCGGGCUUAACCUGGGAACUGCAUUUGAAACUGUCAGGCUGGAGUCUUGUAGAGGGGGGUGGAAUUCCAGGUGUAGCGGUGAAAUGCGUAGAGAUCUGGAGGAAUACCGGUGGCGAAGGCGGCCCCCUGGACAAAGACUGACGCUCAGGUGCGAAAGCGUGGGGAGCAAACAGGAUUAGAUACCCCGGUAGUCCCUGUCUCUUAUAC